ensembl:snoRNA Gm25727 small nucleolar RNA SNORA17
CCUGCCCCAAAGGCAUUGUACAUGUGGCUGCUGUGUUAUAUGUUCAUCAGUAGGUGGCAGAGAGUAGAAAGGCUAAGUCUAGGCCCAGUGUCCUAACCUGUGAACAUCUAAAUGAUUAGUAGUCUAACAUU